CUCAGAUCACGUCGCCUGUUUAUCAAAAACAUCGCUUUCUGAAAUUUUAUUAUGGAAGGUCGGCCCUGCCCGGUGAUUAUUUUUAACGGCUGCAACUUGGUUGUACUAAGGUAGCGCGAUAAUUUGUCUUUUAAUUGGGGAAUGGAAUGAAUGGGUUGACGGAAAUUGAUUGUCUCUUUAAAAUAUAGCGAAGUUUCCUUUUAAAUGAAAAGGUUAAAAUUUUUGUAAAAGACGAGAAGACCCUGUCGAGCUGUAUUAAGAAAAACAAUUAUAAUUGGUUUUUUUGAAGUGUAGUUGGGGAAAGCUGGAUUUUAAAUAAUAAGUCUAAGAUAUACAGACCCUUAUUGUGAGAUUAAAAGCAAAAGCUACCGCAGGGAUAACAGCGUAAUUUUUCUUGAGAGAUCUUAUCUAGGGAAAAGUUUGCGACCUCGAUGUUGGAUUAAAAAGACCUUUUGGCGCAGAAGCUAAGGGGGUAAGACUGUUCGUCUUUUAAAAUUUUACGUGAUCUGAGUUCAGACCGGA
rnacentral:rRNA from 1 species